GGAGACUUACCCAAGUGGUUAAGGGGGCAUCCUGCUAAGAUGUUAGGUGGCUGAUUUGCUGCGCAAGAGUUCGAAUCUCUUAGUUUCCGCCA
rnacentral:tRNA from 2 species